GAUGAACGCUGGCGGCGUGCCUAAUACAUGCAAGUCGAGCGAACGGACGAGAAGCUUGCUUCUCUGAUGUUAGCGGCGGACGGGUGAGUAACACGUGGAUAGCCUACCUAUAAGACUGGGAUAACUUCGGGAAACCGGAGCUAAUACCGGAUAAUAUUUUGAACCGCAUGGUUCAAAAGUGAAAGACGGUCUUGCUGUCACUUAUAGAUGGAUCCGCGCUGCAUUAGCUAGUUGGUAAGGUAACGGCUUACCAAGGCAACGAUGCAUAGCCGACCUGAGAGGGUGAUCGGCCACACUGGAACUGAGACACGGUCCAGACUCCUACGGGAGGCAGCAGUAGGGAAUCUUCCGCAAUGGGCGAAAGCCUGACGGAGCAACGCCGCGUGAGUGAUGAAGGUCUUCGGAUCGUAAAACUCUGUUAUUAGGGAAGAACAUAUGUGUAAGUAACCGUGCACAUCUUGACGGUACCUAAUCAGAAAGCCACGGCUAACUACGUG
rnacentral:rRNA from 1 species